AUUGAACGCUGGCGGCAGGCCUAACACAUGCAAGUCGAGCGGCAGCGGGAAAGUAGCUUGCUACUUUUGCCGGCGAGCGGCGGACGGGUGAGUAAUGCCUGGGAAAUUGCCCAGUCGAGGGGGAUAACAGUUGGAAACGACUGCUAAUACCGCAUACGCCCUACGGGGGAAAGCAGGGGACCUUCGGGCCUUGCGCGAUUGGAUAUGCCCAGGUGGGAUUAGCUAGUUGGUGAGGUAAUGGCUCACCAAGGCGACGAUCCCUAGCUGGUCUGAGAGGAUGAUCAGCCACACUGGAACGGAGACACGGUCCAGACUCCGGCGGGAGGCAGCAGUGGGGAAUAUUGCACAAUGGGGGAAACCCUGAUGCAGCCAUGCCGCGUGUGUGAAGAAGGCCUUCGGGUUGUAAAGCACUUUCAGCGAGGAGGAAAGGUUGAUGCCUAAUACGUAUCAACUGUGACGUUACUCGCAGAAGAAGCACCGGCUAACUCCGUGCCAGCCGCCGCGGUAA
rnacentral:rRNA from 1 species